rnacentral:rRNA from 1 species
CCUACGGGGGACAGCAGUCGAGAAUGAUUCACAAUGGGGGAAACCCUGAUGGGGCGACGCCGCGUGGGGGAAUGAAGGUCUUCGGAUUGUAAACCCCUGUCAUGUGGGAGCAAAUUAAAAAGAUAGUACCACAAGAGGAAGAGACGGCUAACUCUGUGCCAGCAGCCGCGGUAAUACAGAGGUCUCAAGCGUUGUUCGGAAUAACUGGGCGUAAAGCGUGCGUAGGCUGUUUCGUAAGUCGUGUGUGAAAGGCGCGGGCUCAACCCGCGGACGGCACAUGAUACUGCGAGACUAGAGUAAUGGAGGGGGAACCGGAAUUCUCGGUGUAGCAGUGAAAUGCGUAGAUAUCGAGAGGAACACUCGUGGCGAAGGCGGGUUCCUGGACAUUAACUGACGCUGAGGCACGAAGGCCAGGGGAGCGAAAAGGAUUAGAUACCCUUGUAGUC